CAAGUCCCUUAACAAAGUAUUGCAUUAUGAGAAAUUAACAUCUGUUAUAUUAUUUCCAUAUACAGAAUCGAUCGUUUACACAACUCUUGCGAAAUAAAGGUAUAAAUGUUUUUCUCUCUUACAACUUUUUUUCAUUCAGUCUACAUUGCAUUUAAGUUAAAUUGGUCAAUUUGUUAAAAAAAAAAUUCAAAUAAAAAAACAAAUUUAUUGAAUAUUCAUCUGACAAAAAAAAAAUAAGCAAAUUUAUCUUUUCUGUAUCAGUUUCAUUUUAACGUUCAUGAAGAAAUGAUCUGUAUAGACUGUUUGAAUAUCAGCCUUAAUCGGUUACUAUUGCUCACAAUUGGUCUAUGGCCUUAUCAGCAAUCUAUACUUGUUCGACUUCAUUUUUUUUUAUUUUUUGGAAUUUUAACGACUUUUAUUCUAUUUCAGUUUACAGUAUUAUUUACUUUUAAAUAUACUCUGAAUUUACUCAUCGAGGUCCUUUCCUCUACGUUGUUUUUCGCUGUUUGGGCAAUUAAAUACCUUUCAUUUAAUUUUAAAAUCGAAACCAUAAAAUGUUUGUUGGAACAACUGCAGCAUAUGUAUAAUGAGCUAAUUGACAAGAAUGAAAUUGAUAUUAUAAAAAAGCAUGCAAGCUUUGCAAAACGUUAUGCGAUUGUGUUCUUAUUGUUAUUCAUAUUAAACGCAUCCACUUUAAGUUUAUGCUAUUUUUGGCCGCUUAUUUCCAAUAUUCUGUUCUCUACAAAUGUGACUCAAUUACGUCCAUUGCCGAUUAUAUAUUUCAUCGAUCAAGAUAAAUACUUCUAUGUGAAAUUAUUUCACUUCUCCGCGGCCUUUAUCAUAGGAUGUACUGCAAUAAUAGCGACAGGAGCAAUGUUAAUAAUUUAUGAAAAGUAUGUUUGCGGAAUGUUUCAAAUAGCCAGUUAUCGAAUAACACGAGUAAUGACAUUCAAAAAUCAAGAAAAUGAAAACCUGCAAAACGAGAAUUUGAUUUGUAAGAAAAUAAUUCGUGCCGUGAAUAUGCAGCGCAAAGCUAUGCAAUUUUGCGACACGUUUACAUCUACAUUUCAUGUAACGUUCUGCAUUAUGAUAGUAGUUGGAAUAACUUGCGAAAGUCUUAAUCUUUUUCUGAUUUGUCAAAUAAUAUCAUUCGAAUAUGAUACUCUAAAACUGACCUUGAACGUAGGAUUUCUUCUCCUAUCACUUAUCUACAUGAUAAUAUGCAAUUAUUGUGCGCAAGAAAUGACAGAUUAUAGUAAUGAUAUAUAUGAUGCCGUGUACGAGAAAUAUUCAUACAAUAAUAUUGUACAGUAUUCAAUGGUACAUGGCUCCAAUAAAAAUACAGAAAAUAAUAUUAUUCUUAUUGCAAAGAAGUACUAAAGUAUUCCAUAUACAAGUUGGUGGAAUAUUUGUAGCGUCACGAGAAGGUGCAGCUACGAUGUUAAGUACUGUAGUAUCAUAUUUCACUGUUCUUUAUUCUGUAAAGUAGUGAUGCAAAAUACAUUUAUUAACAAUAAACAAAAUUAAUGUAUAAGAAUAUUAUGAUAAUAAUUAAGACAGUUUUGUCUAUUAUCUUAAAAGAAGCAGAGUUCAAUAGAUUAGACGGGAUUGUAAAGAUUGCAAAAGUAGAAAAAUUAUGACAUAUAUAACUAUAGUUUAUAUUAACAUAUAAAAAAUAUAUUUCACCAGUAACACAAUAUUAAUAAUAUUUAUUAUAAAUGAGUCAAUAGUUGAUAUAUCAAAUUUGUAAAAAUAAAACGAACUGUCUGUCACUGCUGUAAAAAAUAAAAAUAAAUGUUUUAUUUUGAUCUACUCUCUCUGUUGUCAAACGCAUACACAUGAUUGUGAAGAAAUGGUUUGUACCAAUUCUUUACACAAUUUUUUACACAUUGGUCUCAAUAAAUGUUUGUUAUUCAUA